rnacentral:rRNA from 1 species
UACGUAGGGUGCGAGCGUUGUCCGGAAUUAUUGGGCGUAAAGAGCUCGUAGGCGGUUUGUCGCGUUGUUCGUGAAAUCUCACGGCUUAACUGUGAGCGUGCGGGCGAUACGGGCAGACUAGAGUACUGCAGGGGAGACUGGAAUUCCUGGUGUAGCGGUGGAAUGCGCAGAUAUCAGGAGGAACACCGGUGGCGAAGGCGGGUCUCUGGGCAGUAACUGACGCUGAGGAGCGAAAGCGUGGGGAGCGAACAGG